rnacentral:rRNA from 1 species
UACAGAGGUCUCAAGCGUUGUUCGGAUUCAUUGGGCGUAAAGGGUGCGUAGGUGGCGUGGUAAGUCGGGUGUGAAAUUUCGGAGCUUAACUCCGAAACUGCAUUCGAUACUGCCGUGCUUGAGGACUGGAGAGGAGACUGGAAUUCAUGGUGUAGCAGUGAAAUGCGUAGAGAUCAUGAGGAAGACCAGUGGCGAAGGCGGGUCUCUGGACAGUUCCUGACACUGAGGCACGAAGGCCAGGGGAGCAAACGGG